rnacentral:tRNA from 1 species
GCGGCCGUAGUCCAGCCUGGCAAGAUAUCUGGUUGCCAUCCAGACGACCCGGGUUCGAAUCCCGGCGGCCGCACCA